UCUGUCUUUUCUCAGCAUUGGCUCAUGUUUCUUGCUGGUUUGGUGUUGUGAGCAUCAGACUUGUCAUAUUCUUGAAGCUUAAAAGCAAAUGGGAAAUCAGCAGUCCCAGUCCAGACCUUAUUUCCUGUGCUACAAGGCAGAGACAACUCAAGGGACCUUUAAGCGCUGGGAAAACCUCCAAAGGUCUGGAUUGAAGAGAAGAGAUGUAAUGCCCAUACAUGGGGGUAAAAAAGCAUGAGGGACUGAUUGGGAAUCAAGCAUUCAGCCUACAGCCAUUAAAGGGAAACAGUUGGUUUGCCUUUUUCUUAAAGCCAUCAAGUUUCAGCUACUAUUUUUCAUGCAGUCACCCCUCCUCUAAGGUGUGUUACAUGUGGCUGUAACAUGUUUGUAGCCAGAAUUUUCUCUGGAACCAGCACACACAGAGCAAGAUGACUUUUUGGUGGUUCUGCAGUGGGAUACAGCUGCAGAGUGCAUACAGCCAGGUAAUGUGAAGGAAACUUUUCACCCCUUUCAUAACAAAGCCUGAAAUUACAGGAUCCUAAUUCUUUUCAAACUUUAA
rnacentral:lncRNA from 1 species